rnacentral:lncRNA from 1 species
GCUGGAGUGCAGUGGUGCAAUCUCAGCUCACCAAUACCUCCGCCUCCCCUGUUCAAACGAUUCUCCUGCCUCAGCCUCCCGAGUAGCUGGAACUAUAAGCAUGUGCCACCACACCCAGCUAAUUUUUUGUAUUUUUAGUAGAGACAGGGUUUCACCGUGUUAGCCAGGCUGUCUUGAACUCCUGGCCUCAAGUGAUCUGCCCAGCUCGGCCUCCCAAAGUGCUGGGAUUACAGGCAUGAGCCACCGCACCUGGCCUAAACAUUGUUAACAAACAUGGGCAGAGAACACGUUUCUUCGAAAUCCCCCAAAGAUGAAGAGCUACAUUUUAUUUCCAGGCUGUUCUGGUGCUUCUACAGGAGAGUGUGGGGUAUGCAGUUUCAGGAUGAGUCAGUGAGCCUCGCAAGAAUGCGCUGAGUGAACGGGAAAGACUGCAGUGCAGAAGGACAUAUGGGGAAACCUUCAAAUCGUCAUUUCAUCACCCAGAUGUGCACCCAAGUAAUCAGAAUCCAAGGCGAAUCUAGAAUGCCAUCAAGUGCCAUCACAAAGUCCUUCCAUAGGAGAGAGAAAGAAAUUCCCACCGGAGGCAAGCAAAGAGGGCUGCUUGAAGGAGGCAGGGGCAUGUAACCUGGCCUCGGGAGAUGAGUAAAAUCUCAGCUGGUGGAGGAGGAAUGGGACCCGAGGCAUGAAGCAUCAGGGUAGCUUGGGUCGGCCUCAUCUCCCCAGCCUGGGAUUGGGGAAGGCAGAAGGGAGAUCUAUACCCUAGAACCUCAACCAAGGAGGUUGGACUUCCCCAGAAUGAGGGCAGGGAGGAAGCUGUGGAAUAUUUUGGAGGAAGGAGUGACACGAUGAGAUGCCGCAGGCCAGUGGGGAGUCAUGCAGAGACACAUGUAGAAACGGCC